rnacentral:rRNA from 1 species
AAUCAACGCUGGCGGCGUGCCUCAGACAUGCAAGUCGAACGAUUAAAGCUCUCUUCGGAGAGUGCAUAGAGUGGCGCACGGGUGAGUAACACGUAAGUAAUCUACCUUCGAGUGGGGAAUAACGUCCGGAAACGGACGCUAAUACCGCAUAAUGCAGCGGCAUCGCAAGAUGACAGUUGUUAAAGAUUUAUCGCUUGAAGAGGAGCUUGCGGCAGAUUAGCUAGUUGGUAAGGUAAUGGCUUACCAAGGCUACGAUCUGUAUCCGGUCUAAGAGGACGGUCGGACACACUGACACUGAAUAACGGGUCAGACUCCUACGGGAGGCAGCAGUCGGGAAUUUUGGGCAAUGGGCGAAAGCCUGACCCAGCAACGCCGCGUGAAGGAUGAAGUA